CAUUAUGUAUUCGUGUUUGUUUUCUGUAAUGAGUUAUUACUUCAGUUUCAUUAUGUAUAUCUGUUAUAUUCAUUUGAUAAAAUUUACUGUUUGCAAUAGCAUUACUUGUUUUAAAUAAUAAGGAUGUUCUUAUCCCAAGCAUAAAAACAUAGCCGUAUCUGACACAACCUUUUUAAACUUUUGAUCUUCAGUGCUGUACAACUUUGUACUUUUUUUCACUUUCGAUCUU
rnacentral:lncRNA from 1 species